rnacentral:rRNA from 1 species
AUUGAACGCUGGCGGCAGGCCUAACACAUGCAAGUCGAACGGUAACAGGAAGAAGCUUGCUUCUUUGCUGACGGGUGGCGGACGGGUGAGUAAUGUCUGGGCAACUGACUGAUGGAGGGGGAUAACUACUGGCAACGGUAGCUAAUACCGCAUAAUGUCGCAAGCCCAAAGAGGGGGACCUUCGGGCCUCUUGCCAUGGGGUAUGCCCAGAUGGGCAUAGCUAGUAGGUGGGGUAACGGCACACAUAGGCGACGAGCCCUAGCUGGUCUGAGAGGAGGACCAGCCACACUGGAACUGAGACACGGUCCAGACUCCUACGGGAGGCAGCAGUGGGGAAUAUUGGACAAUGGGGGCAAGCCUGAUGCAGCUAUGCCGCGUGUAGGAAGAAGGCCUUCGGGUUGUAAAGUACUUUUAGCGGGGAGGAAGGGAGUAAAGUUAAUACCUUGGCUCAUUGACGGUACCGGCAGAAGAAGCACCGGCUAACUACGUG